GACAGCCCAGCGGGCCUUAACCCUCAUUAGCGUUAACCCAUAGGGAGAGCCCGCCUUGGUGGUUCCCAGACACCUGAAGGGAGCAUGAAACAGACUUAGCUGUAACUGCUCUGUGGGGAUGAGGAUUCCUCAAGGCUGGAAGCAGAGCUUGUAAGCCCACUGGUGAACUGGCUCCGUGUCUGUGUGGCUGGUCUCCUUUCUCAAAGGUAGUGUCUUCUCUCUACUCUUCUCCUCCAGAGUCUGCGACACCCCCAGCUCUAUCUCCCCACCUCCACCCCAGCUUCCAAGUGAAGUUUAUUUCUCUCAGUGUGCCAUUCCCCCUCAUUGUGUCUUGUAAUUGGGGAAUGAAUGAAAGACACCUUUUCUUGGUGGAGCUGUCCAGUGCAAGCCACUCUGCCUUACUCCGCUGCUGGUCCUCCCAUAGGCAUAGGUCCCUGAUCUGUGCUGCCUGGGAAGGCUGGAUCCACCAGGACCCAUGAACGAGGGACCCCUCCUCCCUGGGGCACCAGGGUUACAGGCCUGGAGACACAAGAAUCCCCGCGGUGUUAAGCAGAGGUCAGGAUUUCUGCCUCUAGGUCUGUAAAGAGAAGGUGUGGGGAGGGAUCCGCUUGACUUUGCAUAUAAAAGAAAUAGCCUAACUUAGAGGUGGGCUGUGAGCAGCUCGAGGUUCUUCUGCCUCUGCCAGUCCCUCUGCCUCCGCCGUGUGGCUGGUUCUGUGUGUUUGCCUGCAGCAGUGGAUGGUUCUCAUUUAGCCUGUGGGCUGUUUGUCUUCCCCUUCAGUGCUCAGGGUGGCAGAGAAAUGUUCUUUCUGGCUCCUCUGCUAGUUGAAUCUCUGGGAUGGUGGAACCCAGGGUACACCCAGGAGGUGGAGGAGGAGGCAGAAACACUGCUCUGUGCCUUGCCUCAUCUGUGUCUUGCUCGCUCCCCCAGUGCCCUCCUGGGGUGGGAGAGGUCACCACGCCUGCCUGGGCUGUUUGGAGUCCUGGUUGGGGGGCGCCUCAUGGCAGCCACAGCUGCACCUCUGCCGGCUCUGGAGGAGCUUCUUUCUCAGGGCGCUGAGCAGAAACCCUUGACAGAUGGGCCUCCGUGAAUUCAUGGAGGUGUUCCAAUGCCUUCACAUUGUGGCUGCUCAGGGCUCCGGCUCACCUGUUGGAGAAAGCCUUUUCCCAGCCUGCCCCCACCCAUGGGGCGCCCUCUUCCAGGAGUAGAGGCCUGAGUGCUGGCAGGUUUGCUCGCGGUCAAUGGAAAGAGACUGCUGCUCCCUGCCCUCCUGUCAGACCCUCCGUUCACCCAGUUUCUGGACUAGCUGGGACUGCCCGCCUUUCUGCGCUCACCCUCACUCCCUAGGGCUGUUGGAGGGGGAGUUCUGGAGUGUAGUUGGAGGAGCACCAUGUCUGAAUCCCUCCAUAGACACAGACAGGGUUGGUAUUGGUAUCUGGGGGUGGGAUGUGGGAGUCUGCGUCUGAGGCCAGCUGCCUUUAGGUAUUUCUACUCCCACAAGAGUCUGAAAAACUGUCAGUCAGUGUCAGUGUAUGUAAAAGGGGCUGUAUUUGGGGCUCCCAGUGCUUGAUGAGGACUUGAAAAGACCUGCCUCAAAGCGCUGCGAU
rnacentral:lncRNA from 1 species